CAAGUCGAACGAUGAAGCCCAGCUUGCUGGGUGGAUUAGUGGCGAACGGGUGUGUAACACGUGAGUAACCUGCCCUUGACUCUGGGAUAAGCGUUGGAAACGACGUCUAAUACCGGAUACGAGCUUCCACCGCAUGGUGAGUUGCUGGAAAGAAUUUUGGUCAAGGAUGGACUCGCGGCCUAUCAGCUUGUUGGUGAGGUAAUGGCUCACCAAGGCGACGACGGGUAGCCGGCCUGAGAGGGUGACCGGCCACACUGGGACUGAGACACGGCCCAGACUCCUACGGGAGGCAGCAGUGGGGAAUAUUGCACAAUGGGCGAAAGCCUGAUGCAGCAACGCCGCGUGAGGGACGACGGCCUUCGGGUUGUAAACCUCUUUUAGCAGGGAAGAAGCGAAAGUGACGGUACCUGCAGAAAAAGCACCGGCUAACUACGUGCCAGCAGCCGCGGUAAUACGUAGGGUGCAAGCGUUGUCCGGAAUUAUUGGGCGUAAAGAGCUCGUAGGCGGUUUGUCGCGUCUGCUGUGAAAUCCCGAGGCUCAACCUCGGGUCUGCAGUGGGUACGGGCAGACUAGAGUGCGGUAGGGGAGAUUGGAAUUCCUGGUGUAGCGGUGGAAUGCGCAGAUAUCAGGAGGAACACCGAUGGCGAAGGCAGAUCUCUGGGCCGCUACUGACGCUGAGGAGCGAAAGGGUGGGGAGCAAACAGGCUUAGAUACCCUGGUAGUCCACCCCGUAAACGUUGGGCGCUAGAUGUGGGGACCAUUCCACGGUUUCCGUGUCGUAGCUAACGCAUUAAGCGCCCCGCCUGGGGAGUACGGCCGCAAGGCUAAAACUCAAAGGAAUUGACGGGGGCCCGCACAAGCGGCGGAGCAUGCGGAUUAAUUCGAUGCAACGCGAAGAACCUUACCAAGGCUUGACAUAUACGAGAACGGGCCAGAAAUGGUCAACUCUUUGGACACUCGUAAACAGGUGGUGCAUGGUUGUCGUCAGCUCGUGUCGUGAGAUGUUGGGUUAAGUCCCGCAACGAGCGCAACCCUCGUUCUAUGUUGCCAGCACGUAAUGGUGGGAACUCAUGGGAUACUGCCGGGGUCAACUCGGAGGAAGGUGGGGACGACGUCAAAUCAUCAUGCCCCUUAUGUCUUGGGCUUCACGCAUGCUACAAUGGCCAGUACAAAGGGCUGCAAUACCGUAAGGUGGAGCGAAUCCCAAAAAGCUGGUCCCAGUUCGGAUUGAGGUCUGCAACUCGACCUCAUGAAGUCGGAGUCGCUAGUAAUCGCAGAUCAGCAACGCUGCGGUGAAUACGUUCCCGGGCCUUGUACACACCGCCCGUCAAGUCAUGAAAGUCGGUAACACCCGAAGCCAGUGGCCUAACC
rnacentral:rRNA from 1 species